UCCCUGGUAGUAUAUCGGUUAGUACACGCGCUUGUCAUUCGUGUCUGUCUUUCUUAGUAACCGCGCGAAAGCUGGGUUCGACUCCCAGCCAGGGAG